GAUGAACGCUGGCGGCGUGCCUAAUACAUGCAAUUCGAGCGAACGGACGAGAAGCUUGCUUCUCUGCUGUUAGCUGCGGACGGGUGAGUAACACGUGGAUAACCUACCUAUAAGACUGGGAUAACUUCUGGAAACCGUAGCUAAUACCGGAUAAUAUUUUGAACCGCAUGGUUCAAAAGUUAAAGACGGUCUUGCUGUCACUUAUAGAUGGAUCCGCGCUGCAUUAGCUAGUUGGUAAGGUAACGGCUUACCAAGGCAACGAUGCAUAGCCGACCUGAGAGGGUGAUCGGCCACACUGGAACUGAGACACGGUCCAGACUCCUACGGGAGGCAGCAGUAGGGAAUCUUCCGCAAUGGGCGAAAGCCUGACGGAGCAACGCCGCGUGAGUGAUGAAGGUCUUCGGAUCGUAAAACUCUGUUAUUAGGGAAGAACAGAUGUGUAAGUAAAUGUGCACAUAUUGACGGUACCUAAUCAGAAAGCCACGGCUAACUACGUG
rnacentral:rRNA from 1 species